rnacentral:rRNA from 1 species
CCUACGGGGUGCAGCAGUGAGGAAUAUUGGUCAAUGGCCGGAAGGCUGAACCAGCCAUGCCGCGUGAAGGUCAGUGCCCUAUGGGCGUUAAACUUCUUUUGUGCGGGAGCAAUAAUGGUCACGUGUGGCCAGACGAGAGUACCGUACGAAUAAGCAUCGGCUAACUCCGUGCCAGCAGCCGCGGUAAUACGGGGGAUGCAAGCGUUAUCCGGAUUUAUUGGGUUUAAAGGGUGCGUAGGCUGUGAGGUAAGUCAGCGGUGAAAUGCCCCCGCUCAACGGGGUGAAGUGCCAUUGAUACUGCCUGGCUGGAAUGCGGAUGCCGUGGGAGGAAUGUGUGGUGUAGCGGUGAAAUGCAUAGAUAUCACACAGAACACCGAUUGCGAAGGCAUCUCACGAAGCCGCGAUUGACGCUGAUGCACGAAAGCGUGGGUAUCAAACAGGAUUAGAUACCCCUGUAGUC